GUGUGUUUAAAUGGAGGUCUUUCAGUGAGGCUGCCCAAUGCAACAUGAACCUCUGAAGAAGGAGAAGCGGAGGAAGAUUAGGGUAUAAGGGGAGAGCAGUACAGACUGGACUCACUGCCCACAGAGCAGGUGUCUGCUCGAUCCUCAGGUUGUCCUUCCUUCCAACUGCAGAUCCAACUCUAGUCCUGUCCCCAGCAUCAGACCCAGUUACAGUAUCAGACCCAGUCACAGCACCAGAACACCGGAAGAGGCACGGAGGAAGAGGCACCAGACCUUCACCCGGAGCAAGCAGACCACAGGGGAGUGCAACAUUUGACCUCCACGUCUUCCUCCCCUCUGUAGAUCCAGCACCAGUCCACCACCAGACCACCAGACGAGGUGUGAAAGAGGGACCAAAAAUCACAUCUUCACCCGGAGCGAGCAGGUUGGUGGACUGGUGCUGGAUCCCCAGCACCAACCCUUGGCCUCCAGUCCCAGUCCCAGCACAAUUUCCAGUCCAGGUCCCAACAGAAGUACCAACCCAGGUUUUUCCGGUCCAAGCCACAACACCAGCACCAACCCUGAACACAGCACCGUAUUCCUUUUCCUUUCAGCCACUGCCAGCCCAGCCCAGACCCCACCCCUCCCCCAACACAAAGGCACAUUGUGGACUAACUAACUAACUGACUGAUUGACUGAUGCAAUGGACUGAAUGGACUGACAGAUUGUUCGGAUUAUUUUUUGAUUAGUUGAUUGCCUUUACUUUGCUUUUGUUUGAUUGGAUAACCAUUUGUUUUGCCUAAUUUGAAUUGAUUACUUAUUGAUUGAAUUGUUUAUUUUUCGGAAUUUAAACUUAAUGAUGGAUUGAAUUUGAACUUGUUGAACAUUUUAAACUGUAACGAAUUUUGGAAAAAACAAAUAAAAUAGAAUUACACAGCAGAAUAGAAUUACACAGC
ensembl:lncRNA